AAGUCGUAACAAGGUAUCCGUAGGUGAACCUGCGGAAGGAUCAUUAACACGUAUCCACGUUUUCAACCAAUUGUGAACUUGUUUUCAAUCAACAAUUUAAACAAAUUUAACCUUUUUACUUUUGCGAGUUGGCUUUUUUUAUUCUGUUGUUUUGCUGUUUAUCAGCACUCCAACACGUUUUUUUAAUUGAACGUAAAAAGAACUAUAACUCUUAGCAAUGGAUAUCUUGGUUCUC
rnacentral:misc_RNA from 1 species